rnacentral:rRNA from 1 species
GAUGAACGCUGGCGGCGUGCCUAAUACAUGCAAGUCGAGCGAACGGACGAGAAGCUUGCUCCUCUGUUGUUAGCGGCGGACGGGUGAGUAACACGUGGAUAAUCUACCUAUAAGACUGGGACAACUUCGGGAAACCGGUGCUAAUACCGCAUGAUAUUUUUAACCAUAUGGUUUAAAAGUGAAAGGUGGUCUUGCUUCAACUUAUAGAUGUAUCCGCGCUUCAUUAGCUAGUUGUUAAGGUAACGGCUUACCAAGGCAACGAUGCAUAGCCGACCUGAAAGGGUGAUCGGCCACACUGGAACUGAGACACGGUCCAGACUCCUACGGGAGGCAGCAGUAGGGAAUCUUGCGCAAUGAGCGAAAGCCUGACGGAGCAACGCCGCGUGGGUGAUGAAGGUCUUCGGAUCGUAAAACUCUGUUAUUGGGGAAGAACAUAUGUGUAAGUAACUGUGCACAUCGUGACGGUACCUAAUCAGAAAGCCACGGCUAACUACGUG